rnacentral:lncRNA from 1 species
UUCUCACCCCACUCUAUUUCCAGUGGUAGGUACAGGGCUGCCGAGAGAGGACCGCGGCAAGGGCAUCGCGCCCGAUCAGUGAGACCGUGGUAGUAUAGUAGCUUUCCUUUUUACAUUAGCACACCUAUGUAUUGAGAGAGAUUCAUUGUAGGUGAGGGUUUGGAGGGCUAUGUAUUUUGGAGAUGAAAAAUGUAAUCAUUUAAAGAAAAUGAUAUAAAGGAAAAUGAUGAAACUAUUGUAAUAGUUAGUA